AUGGCCCAAGCCAUCCUCCAGAGGGCAUGCGCGAAGCUCAGAUCCGCCACAGAAGAUGAAGCCGUGGUGCGAUCUAACUUCACUGGCGAUCUGCGGGAAAUGUUGGAGGUGCUGGAGGCCGUCCAGCCGGUGCUCGACAAAGCCGAGAUGCAGCCGCUGAGGGAUAGAUCAGCGUCGGAUUGGCUGUGUCUGGUCAGGGCCGCCGCCUACAACAUCAUGGACAUAGUUGACGAGUUGCAGGACGCGAGGUCACCGGCUGCUGUAACGAUGACAAGGAUGCUGCUGCCCCGCCUUGCCAUCAUGAAGAAUGCCAUGGCCAUCAAGGUGGGAGAGACGAAAAAACGAGUGAUGACGAUACAGGAGGGGUGCCCUACAUUCCAUCCUAUGUAUUACGAUAGUGCACCAGCUUUUGAAAAACCAUUGGAUUCCGAAAGAGGAUCAGAUAAAGAGAGGAUAAUGGCCAUCCUGCUGCUGUCUGCUGAGCGCAGGCAAGAGCCCAUCACCAUUCUUCCCAUCUUUGGGCUUGCAGGUAGUGGCAAGACAGCGCUGGCACAAAUGGUUUUUGGUGAUACUCGCUCCCUCCAAAGUUACGACUUUCGGGUAUGGGUCCAUGUGUCUCCUGUACUCGACUUCCAUGAAGUAGGUGAGUCCAUAAAUUGGCAGGUAUUUCGAGGACAGUCACAGGAAGAUGCAUCUUCAGAUGUGGUGGGGGUGGAGCAUAUAAUGAAGCGACUUCAGAAGCUACUUAAUGGUAAGAAGGUGCUCCUUGUUCUGGAUGAUCUGCGGGAGGAGGAUACCGUCCAGUUGCAACGGUUGAAGGACAUGUUAACCUUCUUGGGCGACAAGGUUGAUGUGAUAGUAACCACAUGCAACCAAGCAAUUGCUAGGAAGGUUUGCACCAUUGAGCCAUACAGGCUAAGUCCCUUGAGUGAUGACACAUGCUUGCAAAUAAUCAAAAAAUCAAUCCGUUCCAAAGGAGGAGAAGAAUUGGAGAAGAUAGGACAGGUGAUAGCAAGAAAGUGCCGGGGUGUACCAUCAGCGGCUCUAGAAAUUGCACGCAUGCUAGAUUCUGACCCAUAUGCUAUGAGGGGAAAGGUCAAGCUUGAUUCAACAUUUUGCUUACCUCUUUCAACUUUCGAGUUAAGCUACAGGAGUAUGCCACCAGAUUUGAGGCUAUGCUUUGCUUAUUAUUGUAAAAUCUUCCCAAACGGCCACAAUAUAGUGAAAGAAGACCUGGUUCAUCAAUGGAUUGCUCUCCACCUCAUUGAGCCAUCUGAAAUAUUGUCUGCAACACAGAUAGCUGAGGAGCAUAUUACCAGGCUUCUGGACAUGUCAUUCCUUCAAACUACAAAGCCUGAGACCAGUGCAAAGGACGAUAAGGGUGGGAUCUUGUUCACUAUGCACGAUUUGGUGCAUGACUUCGCGAGAGGGUUCCUAGUAUGUUCAAACUACAGUCUAGCCAUCAACCACCAUGGGGAACUUGAUGAUAGGUAUGCUGCAGAUCAAAGAGCGCUGCGUUGUGUAGGCUGUAGCAAAGUGGAGUUUAACAAUGACUCAUUUUCACGUAAGAAGUGCCUACGUGUCCUGGAACUAAAGGAGAGCUCCGUGCGGAAGCUACCAGACUCCAUCUGUCAACUGAGGCACCUGGGUUAUCUUAAGAUAUCAGAAUUCACUGGACUGGUAACUCUGCCCGAGUCAUUUGGGCAUCUGAAAAAUCUGUUCCACGUCGACUUAUCAAGAUGCUCCGGGCUACUAAACCUACCAGAGUCAUUUGGAAAGCUAAUCCGUUUAGUAAAUGCCAACUUGUCAGGCUGCUCUGAACUACUAAACCUACCUGAAUCAGUUGGGAAGCUUGUCAAUCUGGUGCACAUUAAUUUGUCAGGCUGCUCUGGGCUUGCAACUCUUCCUGAAUCAUUUGGGGAUCUCAUAAACUUGUCUCAUGUUAAUGUAUCACGGUGCCAUGGACUAGCGGAGCUUCCAGAACCACUCCAGAAGCUCGGCAAACUGGCACACCUGGAUUUAUCAUUCUGGUCUUGUUUUGAAGGGAUCGGGAAAAGCCUUGGUGGCCUCACUAGUCUUGAGCAUUUGAACUUAUCACACCCUUGCUGUCAUCUUGCUCGGCACCGGUCUUGUGUCCAAGGGCUAAAAGAUGGUUUGUGCAAGCUCACCAACCUCCGAUAUCUAAACUUGUCCAUGUGCCUGAAUUCCAUCUUUUACUACCAUCAGUCACAAGUGGACAACCUCCAAUACAUUGGAGACUGUCUCAGAGGUCUUUCCAGUCUAGAGCAUUUGGACCUGUCUCAUAACACAUUUCUUUUUGAUCUGCCUGAAAGUCUAGGUGACCUCAACAGGCUACACACACUGGAUCUCUCAGGCUGCAUCAGAAUCAAGAAAGUAGGUGAAACGAAGUCUCUCAAGGUUAUAACAGAUUUAAGCAAAUGCCGGGGUCUAGAAAGUUGCCAGCUUAUGGUUCGUGUUGAGGAAGGGGCAUACGGAAGCACGAGCAACCUUGCUCAGCUCGAGGUUGUGGACUGUAAAGAGUUGGAGAUAAGCUGCCUUGAGAGGCUGAAGUCUUUGGAGGAAGCGCGGAGGAUAACAUUAGUUCAGAAACAAAAGGUUGAAAGGUUGAAGCUUUGUUGGACUGUUGGUGCCCCUGGAGGAUCUAUAAAAGUGGAGGAAAAUGCUUUGUUAGGAGAACUAGUGCCACCACAUUCUCUGCAGUGCCUCGAGAUAUGUGGCUAUGGCGGCGAAACCUGCCUCCCUGCCUGGCGGAUACAAAGCAUAUCAUCUCAUCUUCCUAAUCUUACAGAGGUUACCAUGGAGGACUUCCCGAGGUGCAUUGAACUGCCGCUGCUGGGUCUAUUUCCAAACCUCCAGCGCCUUGUUCUCAGAAGGAUGGCCAGAAUCACAAGGAUCCAUGCCGGUGACCUGAGUGGAGGCAACAAAGAGGCAUUCACUCGACUCUCCAAAUUCACCAUAGAUGAUAUGGAGAACCUGAAAGAGUUUGAGUUUGCCGCUGUUGAUGAGCUGGCGAUUCAGAAAUGCCCCUUGUUGAGCUUUGGAUCUCUUCCACCCAGAGCUCAGAGGUUGUUGAUAUCAGACUGCAACCAAGUGAUGUCUCAAUCGAUAGCAGGAAUAGAUGGUGUGGAGGGUCCUUCGGCUCCAGUAACUGAACUGGUCGUCCAAAGUUGUAAUGUGCCUCUAGGUGACUGGACUUUGCUCCGACACCUCCCUGGACUCUGCAGCUUGACUAUCAACAACUGCUACAAUCUAACCAGCUCACCAGAGAUUACUAGGGCCCUAUCCUCUCUCCAGCAACUUGCGAUCGACGAGUGCCAUGGCAUUCAAUCUUUGCCGGAGGACAUGUUAGCCAAGCUCACUGGCCUCAAAGCUCUGUAUAUUUGGAACUGUCCUGAGCUGAAGAAGUGGUGUGAAUCAGAGGAGAACAGACAGAAGCUCGCUCACAUCCAAGUAAAAUUUGAGAAAUUUGAUACCAGCAAGACUGGCGUGCAUCCUCCGAAAUAUAAAGAAGCGUCUCAGUUCUUGAUUUCUGAGCACUAG
rnacentral:rRNA from 1 species